GCGCGCUCGUCUGGGCGUCGUCGCGGCUGCCUCUGCGGCUCGGGAGCUGCAGCUCGGAGGCUGUGGCUGCGGGAGUCCGCGGGCGCCGUCGCAGGGGCACGAACCCGACGAAUCGGAGGAGGAGGCCGGGGACGUGGAGUCCCAGUGGCCGGCCCAGCCCCAGCCCUGGGCGAAGAUCCAGUGGUCGUGGCCGAGGAGGCUCUGCGGAGGAGGCGACUGGGCCAUGGCCGGGCUGCAGGCUCUGGGAGGCUGGGUUGGCCACCUCCAGGCCUGAGCUUUUAUGUUGACCAAAGACUUGGUCUAUCGUCCAGGCUGGAGUGCAGUGGCACCAUCUCAGCUCACCGCAACCUCUGCCUCCUGGGUUCAAGUGAUUCUUCUGCCUCAGCCUCUCAAGUAGGUGGGACUACAGAUGGAGUCUCACUCUAUUGCCCAGGCUGGACUACAAUGGCAUGAUCUUGGCUUACUGCAACCUUCACCUCUUGGGUUCAAGCAAUUCUGCCUCAGCCUCCCAAGUAGCUGGGAUUACAGGCAUGCACCACCACACCUGGCUAAUUUUUGUAUUUUUAGUAGAGACGGAGUUUCACCAUGUUGGCCAGGCUGGUCUCAAACUCCUGACCUCAAGUGAUCUGCCUCGGAUCCUCGGCCUCCCAAAGUGCUGGGAUUACAGGCGUGAGCCACCAUGCCCAGCCUUUUUAAUUUUAAAUAAUAAAAAAAUAAUAAGAAGAAAGAAACCUAAACGAUUCGGUAUUCCCAGGCUGUCUCCCAUCCUAGUACUUAGCUUCUGAGAUAAGACAAGAUUGGGCGCGUUCAGGGUGGUGUGGCUGUACACCAGAACUUAUUUUUAAAUUGCACAUGUAAUACAUGAAUGUAGUCUUCUUGUGAAAAAUGUAAACACUGAAGACAAAAUUCAAGCUUGACCAGCCCCCAGAACUCAGACCUGCCCCCACCCACACUCCAAACAAGUCCUGGUAUGUUUUUCUAUAUUUGGUGUGUACCCAAGGCCUCUGUCUAUGUACAUAUACACAUAUAUACGAUAGACCCUUACAGAAUACAUGGUAUCAUACUAUGACUUUCUGUGUAGACGGGCUGUUUUUCAAAUUUCAUUUUCUUUUGCCUUUGCUUAUAUCAGUGGUGCCAUACUGAAUGAAAUUUCUGCACCUUGAUUUUGUCACUAAGCAGUCUGUCUAAACUUGCACUUUUAAUCUUUUCCAAUCAGGAUGAAUUGCUGUCAGGGGAAUGGCUGGGCAAAGGGCAUGGUGAGGCUGUUCUGAAGCUUCAGCCCAGCCCUGUCGAGUCCAGGAGGUGCAUGGUUGAGGCUGACCUGGUUAAUGGCAGCCAGCAGCACUGCCCACACACCUGGGGCACCUUGGCCAAGGCACCUGGCCAUCCUGUGUGCUCCCAGGGCCUGGGGUGGAGCAUAAUCUACAAGGCUGAAGAAAACUUCCUUGGCUCAGGCCAAGCGCUGGAUCGUGGAUUUCUCUUGGUGAGGGGCCUUGGGAGCUGAGGAUAGAGUUCCUCUUGUCCUCGGUCUUUGGCACGUGGUCAGUACAGAUCAUGUAAGACCCCUCUUUUUAUUUCACAUCUGGCCAAUUUAAGCUCUCUCCCCCUUCCCUUCAAUGUUCUCUAGCCUGUCCAGGGAUGCCCUAUCCCCAGCCUCUGGCAAAGGACCCCCGCCCACUGGCGCUGCACUUCCCCAGGUCCUGCCCAGGCAUUCCAGCUAGGCCCCGGGAGCCCCACUCUGCUUUUUACUGGGUCUAAAGUCAGAUACCUUGGGGGCAUUCUCCUAACCUCAGAUGGAGCACCCGGAGCUAGCCAAGGGCCUGAACCAGGCAGCUCGUAUGAGGUCCCAGGCUGGUGACCUGGGCCGGCCCUGCACUCUUCAUCCUUCUGCCCGGGGCUGGCCACCCUCCCAGCACCUCACCACUGUUGCGGGCAGUCAGUAGGGGAGAGGGGGCACUUAGGGCCCAAAGCCUCCACUUCCUGCCUGGAUACAGCUCCAUCUUGGGCUUUUCUGGAGGGCCUGAGCAGGCUGGGCACACCCAAGUUGGCAGCUGAGCCAGGUCUGCAAACCCUCACCCGAGAGCUGGCAAGAGUUUCGAGUUUCGGUCAGCUUGUGGUCUGGCCUCUUUCUACCUCAGCUGCACCUGGGGCAUGUGUGUGUUGGGGAGGGGUGUUGAACUCUGCUUGGCUCCUGCCUUCCUGAAACUGUCAUCCUUUUCCUCAUUCUGAUGGGCUCCCAUCUUGCUCCACGUCUCUGCACACAGAUGCGUGCUUUUCCUGGUGGACAGACGGGCAAACGUGUCCAGAGAGGGCAAACGGCCUGCCUGGGGUCACAUGCCCUGUCACACAGGCACUGAACCGGCCUUCAUCUAUUUCUUAAGCCAGCCCAGCAUCCCUGACACAUCUACACAGUUCCCAGCGCACCCCCAAAUAGAGCCAAGCCUGGGUUCUGGCCCUAGCCCCAAAAAACGUCCUUAAGGAUUGGAGGAAGAGCUGUCCAGCUCAGACCCAAAGAUCCCACACGGCUGGGCAGCGCCCUCUGUUGGCUGUGGUUGGGAGUGCGUGGACACUGGAAAGCCAGGGGUGAACCCUCUGUCCCGACUGGGGCCUUCCCACCAAGGCAGGCAGUGUCUCCCAGGACAUCUCAGCAGGCAGUCGGGAGCCCCUGCUCCAUUUUGCAGGUGGCAUUGUGUGACAAGUGUGCCUCCUCUCUUUAUACCUCAAGUUUCCCCACUUUUCACUCUAAGGCUGAGACCCAUUGGCACUUCCCUGGAGAAAGUGAAGGAGCAUAAAUGCUACGUCCCUUAGGAGAGACGUGCUAUCUGCUUACCCUGCAUUGUCAGCCAGCUCCAGACCCACCAAGACGCGGCACUUCCUCUUGAGCCUUUCCUGGAAUCUGCCAAGUCUCUCUCUCCCACCCCCUCCCUCCUCGUCACCCCUGGGCUGCCUGCGACUUCCACUGGCUGAGCACCCAGCUGAUCUGUAGC
rnacentral:lncRNA from 1 species